UUGAGCCGAGUCGAGCUGAGUUCGAGUUUCAUUAAUAUUAACAAGUUGAGCCGAGCUCGAGCUCAGUUACUUAUCGAGCCGAGCUUAAGCUCAAUAAAUGAGCUCGAUAAGUAAACGAGCCGAGCUCAAGCUCAACAAAACUCGGCUUGACUCGGUUCGUUUGCAGCCCUAAUUUCAGUCAAGUUCAUUAGAAAAUUGGAUUAUCCAUUAAUUUUUGUAGUCCAUUCUUGGUGUCAAGCCAUGUGACAAAGAAGUUUGAAGAGUUGCAUCUUAAUCUGCACCAUGAUUUGAUAAUGCAGAUUGGGUCAUUGACUAGCUGAUUUCUUGGAAUGUUCUUUUUACAUUUUUACUACUUUGUGUGUUUAGGAAAGAGCUAACAAAAAUUCAUCUAAAAAACUAAAAAAAUAAAAAUGUAAAACCAUGGUUGUCAAAUUGCGAAUCGAAUCCCGAAUCGUCGUACUAAAAUUUUGAAUUGUGAAUCGUAUCGAAUCGUGAAUCGUAAGAUUUACUUUUUUUUUUUAAAUAUAUUUAAAUAUAUAUAUGUAUGUAUGUACAUAUAAUGAAGUUUUUAUUGAGCAAAUAAUUUACUUAUUAAUAUAAUUUUUUAUUUUUAGCAAGUGAUUAUCAAUUUCUAAGUUAAUUAAUGUUUAAAUGGCAACAUGUUGCACUUCUAUUUAACCUGCAUUUUUUUGACCAAUGGUAUGUUACCCAAAAAAUAACUUGUUAAACCAAGGGUUAGGAAACAACUGUCAUAUAGCUUUAUUUGUUUACAGCCAUCUUCAACAGCACCAAAACCAAAAAGAUUUAGACAAACGAAGAGAUAAGCACAAUUUCACGUACUCUCUCUCUCUCUCACUAGAAACUGCUUUACGUCUACCUGCCAAAAAGAAAAAAAAAAUCUCAGUCAAAGUAAAGAAAAAGAAAAAAAAAAGGAGAGAGAGAGAGAGAUAACAGAACAGAAGAGUUAUAGAGUGACAAGGAGAUGCAUUUGACGCAGAACAAGUAGGGACAUUAUUGGAUUUUGAAAACAGAGGUUAUGUGAUGGCCUAAACAGUGAGUAAUUUAGGGUUUCAAGGGUUAAAUUGAAGGCUAAGGUAGGGGAAGGGAUUAGGGUUGACUUGGAGGUGAUCAGAUAGGGUUUUGGGGUUGAAAAAUGUACUUUUAGAGGGUUGUGAAUAGUAAUCCGAGAAUAGUAAAUUGAAACAAAAAAGAGAAAGAAAAAGAAAAAGAAAGAAGAAGAUAGGUCUAGUAAUCCGGGAAUCUCUUAGGUAUCACACCUAGGGUUUGAUUGGAUCACACAAUCCAUAAAGACGCUUCAAAAGCUCUUGAAAUUCUCUAAAAUAUCAACUCUAUUGAAUUAUAAGCAUUACAUGGCUUCAAAUUAAAAUCUUUCAAUUGAUGCCACCUUUUCUUCAUUGGAGAUAGCAACAAAAAUAAUGAGAUUGAUCUUUUCAAUUUUGCCACUAAAUUUUUCUGGAAUAAAAAAGUCAAUUGGCAUAGGAAACGCAUCUUUGAAUUCAUCCAAAUCAAUUUUCAUUAAACUUUCUUCGAUAUUUUUGGCAACAACCUCAAUUCUGCUCUUUUUAGCCUCUUUACCUAGCACGAGAUCAUCUUUUGAUUCACUAUUGGCCACUUCACUAAAUAUGAUUGGAGCACAUUCAUCAGCGACCUCAUAUUGUAAUGUCAUGACCUCUAAAGGUAAUAUGUUCUGAACUAGCAACUGCUCUUUUCAAUUCAUUACUCUCAAGAGCACAAGGAAUGACAAUUUCUUUGAUUUCACCCUUAGCCUUUUCGAGUUCAAUACAUGGAGCUUCAAUUGGUGGCUUCUCAUCCUUCAUGAUCUGGCCAUUAUUCUCGUUAGGCAGAUUUUGAACAAAUUCCUUGCUUGGCAACUUCAACUGUCUACGGUUUUGAUCCCUAAAAAUAACAUUAGGCUUUGGCGCAUCUUCUUGUGAAUUUUCAGGAUCUUUUUGUGGCACUUUAACCCUUUGUUUUGGAGUUCAUGUUGGCUGGUCUUGCUGGAUAGAUUUUUCAUUCUGCAUAAGCUUCAAAACAGUAGAUUUCUCCUUAAA